GUGGGCAGCAGAUUGGCAAUGAGCCAGCAAUGUGCCCUUGCGGCCAAGAAGGCCAAGGAGAUCCGAACGUGCAUCACAAACAGCGUGGCCUACAGGUCGAGGGAGGUGAUCCUCCGCUCUGCUCUGCCCUUGUAAGGCCACAUCUGGAGUGCUGUGUCCAGUUCGGGGCUCCUCAGUUCAAGAAAGACAGGGGUCUCCUGGAGCCAGUCCAGUGGAGGGCCACAAAGAUGAUGAGGGGCCUGGAGCAUCUCCUGUAUGAGGAAGGCUGAGUAAUCUGAGUCUUUUGAGCCUGGAGAAGAGACAGCUGAGGGGGGUUUUCAUCACUGUUUAUAAAUAUCUAAAGUGCAGGAGCCAAGUGCGUGGGGCUGGGCUCUUUUCAGUGGCAUGCAGCAACAGGACAAAGGACAAUGGGCAGAAGUUGGAACACAAGAAGUUAUAUCUGAACGUGACAAAGAACUUCUUUACUUUUAGUGUGACAGAGCACUGGAACAGGCUGCCCAGAGAGGCUGUGGAGUCUCCUUCUCUGGAGAUAUUCAAGACCCUUCUGGAUGCUUUCCUGCUCAACCUACUGUGAGGGAACUUGCUAGCAGGGAGUUGGACUCAAGAGCUCCCUUUCAACCCCUACAGUUCUAUGAUUCCAUGUAUGCACUAGUGCAAGGUUCUCCCUGUGCUCGUGCUUCCAGCAGUGCUUUGGGACUGUAAGCUGCUGUCAGAAGGCUGUGCCUACUUUUAACUGGCCAUGCUGAGUGUGAGUCAACCUUUGGCACACUCAGGACACAAAACAUAUGAGGUUUGUGCUGAAGUACGUGUUUAGUAGGUGGCAGCCCCAUCCAGCUGGGGAUCAGCACCCCAGUCUUGGAUGAUGAGUUUAUGUCUCAGCUUCAUUUUAGGUCUGGGUUGUCUCUAGAAACGUGUCACAUUGUAAUUUCCAGUGCAAAAAUGAUCCAGGAAUUCUGUGAAAAGGGUAGAUGUGGCACUGAAGGACAAGGCUUAGUGGGCAUGGUAGUAAUGACUCAGCAGUUGGACCUGAUGAUCUUAGAGGUCGUUUCAAACCUUAAUGAUUCCAUGACUCUGUUCUAUGAUUCCAAGUGACACUGAGGUUUUUUAUUCAAGCAAUGCUACAAGUCAGUAUAGGCUCUUUUUCUUAAUCGUGCAAAUGUUCACACUGGCAGUUUGCCCAGGCAGGCUGUGUGUCCUCCAGCCCUGUGGUGUUGGCAGCUCAGCUGGACAAGACCCUGAGCAACCUGACGUAGCUUCAGCACUGGCUGCACUUUGAGCAGAGGGUCAGAUUAGAUGACCUUUAGAGAUCCCUUCAAGCCUGAUCUUUUUUCCGUGAUUCAGUGAAAUGACAACUGGUCUCACCUCUAAACAGAAAAAAAAGUAUCAAAGUAGUAGCCAUGAGUGGAUUUCUAGGGAAGUGUAAGAUCAAUGUAUAAUUCUUCAUCUCAGAAUUCUCCUACUUCUGUGUGGUUAUUUCUUUAAUACCUGGUUUACUCAGAAAAUGGAAAUAAAUAAAUCAGUUGAAAGACUGCUGAAACACAGGUCAGCCUCAAUAAGUUGUAAGAGCUUGGUUUUUUUAAUACCUGUAAGAGCAUAAGCUGCAAGCAGUUUAUAUAGAUCACUUGAAAGGGUUCCUCCUAAAGAGAAAAAAUAUUAUUUAGCAUUUAUCUCAGUCAGUAGAGAGAACUCAGCAUUUUCACUAGUUCAGCAUUUUCUAGAAACAGGCAUAGUCUCUUUUAUAGAAUCACAGGAUUGUAGAAUAUCUCGAAUUAGAAGAGAUCCACAAGGAUUGUUGUGUUCAACCCCUGGCUCCACAUUCCACUCCAAAUUCAAGCCCUAUAUCUGAGAGCAGUGUCCAAAUGCUUCUUGAAAGCUGGCAGCUCAGGGCCAUGCCCACUGCCUUGCCCUGGGCAGCCUGUUCCAUGCACCCUAUGGUGCAGAACCUGGCCCUGGCCCACACCUGCCCCUCCCCUCAUAUAGAAAUAGCUUGUCUUGUGGGAGCUGCCCUUGUUAGGCCAAAAAUUGGUCAAGAACACAGCAUCAUCAUCAGUGAGAGGGGGAUGAACAGUGCAGAUGCACAUCAAGGCCACCUGGCUGCAUGUUCUCAGUUAUCAGAAACACGUAGGCACAUCCACUGUGACAAAGUCUCCAUCUGUGCAGAUGCUGCUCUGCCAUAUCAGACACUUACCACAAAGCGAAUUGUAGCUGCAGGAAGUGGAUGUAAGCACUUGCAUUUGCAUAGAUAGAGGGCUGAACCUCACCUGUUGCUGUAGAAAUAAGCUGCUUCUGCCUGACCUGAAUCUGUGAAAAUUUGACGGUGUCUUUAUUCUGGUGACAGUCUUCAUCCUCAUUUGCAGAUGAUGUUUAUUUGGCCAGUCCAGGCUACUGAGCACAGUGACCCAAGCUUUCCUGUCCUAAUGUCAGCCCAUGUGCAGGAGGGUAUGAGAAGCAAAGAUUGUGUUCAAGGCAACCUGCAGAUACUUAUCACUAUCAGAGAUGGG
rnacentral:lncRNA from 1 species